GAGAGAGAGAGGGAGAGAGAGCAGCCGAGUAAACAAUGGGAGAGAAUCUAUUUUAGUACAGAUCCUCAGAUUUCUACAUCAACCUCUUUUAUUAACUUUGCCAAGAAUUUCAAGGUUGGACCCAACAAGUUAUCCUGGGAUGUACAUGGUAGGUCUUCAGACAAACUAACCAAACCAGUUCAUUCACACGCACCCACGGGCAGGCGCAAGAGAAAGUGAGGGAUCACAAAUUAACCAUCCAAGUUUCUGUAGCUUUUGAAAUGCAAUAAUAUUAAAGAAAAUCUAAACAUAAUUGAUCUAUGGUGUGAAUAACCUGACGUGCCAAUGCAAAAGACAUCAAGCAUGCUAGCUUAGAACAAAAAGAAUUUUAUGUUUGAAGCUCUAAAAAUAUCAAUGCAAAUUGCACACAAAAUACAAAUACAUUUGACAGUAAUAAGAUCUUAAACAGAUAAUGAACUAUACAUACAGAAGCAAGACUUGCAGUAUAGCAACAUACCAAGUAAAUCUUCAUAUGAAUCUG
rnacentral:misc_RNA from 1 species